rnacentral:lncRNA from 1 species
UCCAUUCCAAAACGUACCAUUCAAUUAAUAAGCAACAAAACAUACCAUUCAUACAAUUCAUGUUAUUCAAAACUAAACCAAAAGAUAAAAGAAGAGGAACCUAUUUGUGAGUGUUUGUCAUGCUAUUUGUCGCACUUUUACUCGGACUUUUACUCGGACUUUUACUCGGACUCUUGCCAAUAUUUUCGACAUUUGAAUCUCUUGUAAUAGGCGUGAUUAUGGUGUUGUGUCCUUGGCUCGACUGACCCUAAUGUAAAAAAAAAUUGAAAUUACAAAGAAAAUAUGAAUAUUGAUUUAUAUAUAAAUGCUAAUUACCUCAAUCGUCUCUCGACGUAAGUCUUCCCUUAGUUCCUUUAGUAUAUCCGGCAUCUGUUUUCUAAUGGCCUCUUGAACUGCCCGAUCAAAGUCUUCUUUACUUUUUUGUUGUUGAAUUUCUAUAAAAUUCGUCGUUGUGUUCUGUGAAGUCGCCAUAUUAUCAGGAAUUGGUAAUGGCAUUGGAUCACUUACUCUGGUCCUAAGCACACGACCUUUCUUUUUUCCGUCAGUAGCUUUGACCCAUAAUUCUAAAUUAUCAGGGUGUGUAUGAUCCAUUUGAUGAGUUGAUCUCAGAAUUUUCUGCUUCCAUAGCAUUUCUUUGAAGCUCAUUAUAGUCAGCCUAUAAAAAUGAAAAUCAAUAAUAAAUAAAAAAUAUGACUUAAAUAUUUUAAAACGAAGCAUUUUUAACGAAUUUUCUUACAAUGAAGCAUCCUCCCUUUGGAUGAGCCCAGUCGUUUGUCUUAGCUAAACUAUGUGUUUUCUUAUAAACCUCACAGUGACCGACUUCAUAACCAGCUUCUUCAUUCUGAUUGUCAUACACAAAAAAAUUAGAAUGAUAAAUGUAAAAUAUAUGAAAGAAAUGUUUUUUUACCAUUCUUUCAUGAGUGGCCGCAACUGAACAAGAUCCACCCGUGUAUGGCAUGUAAUCUGGAUUGUUUGUCCUAUUUUCUGAUGCUUUUUCGGAUUUUUUUUUCCAAUCUUCUUUUAACCAAAUAUCUAUCAUUUCACUCCAUGCUUCCGUAGAAAGGUAUAUCGGUGGAAAUCUAGCGCAAGAUCUGGUUAGUGUGUCAACUUUUGCCAAUUUCUUUGCCUCUUGUCUCGCUUUAUACAACCAACAUAUAUAAUUUAGUUGUACAUAAUUAUCAAAACAUUCACUAGCCAAUUGAAUGUCCUCAAAUGAGAAAUAGCACUACAUAAAGACAAAAACAUUACAUAUGGAAAAAAAUGACAUAUGGAAAAAAUGACAAAUAAAUAAAUAAGUCAUACCAGAAAUUUGACGAAAAUAUUUUCCUUUUCCUCUUCUUUCCAAGAAGUCCAUUUAGUUAAAGGUGACGUUAUAUUACCUUUUACUAAUAUUCCUAUUUGACUUCUUACAUUGUUUGUAAAAGUCCUAUAAAAAACAAUCAAAUUAAAUAAUAAAAUAUAAUGAAUUAUAAUGAAAACACUCACACGCUCUUAACAAUAGUGGCGGGAGUUGGUGCAUCCGGUUGCCUCAAUCCUUUUGUCCAUUUUCUUCGAUGUUCUUCAUCGAAGCGGUCCUAAACGAUUUCUUGAUCUAUUCUUCCAGAUUGUGAUCGUCCGUCGUUUGUUCGUUUACGACUCCGUCCGCGUGCCAUUUUCUAAUGGAAUAUUUUCUAAAGGAAUAAAUAAAAUGAAAUUAUUCUGCUUGAAAAAAAAUGAAAGUAUAAAACAUAUAACUCACUCAGGCGACUCAUCAAACAAAGUAUAAAACAAAUCAGAAUAACAUCAAUCGUGAUAUUCAUUCAUAAAAAUAGAAAUAGAGAAUUGGGUCAAAUUAAAAAAAAAUGAAGAGAAAUUAAAAUAGAAACAAAUGAACAGAUUUUGAUGAAAAUAGAAACAAAGAAUUUUUUUAGGGAUUUAACAUAUUUUUUAGGGAUUAAACAAAUCGUGGACAAACAAAUGAACAAAUCGUGGAUUUAACAGAUCUAUUUUUGUCCCAAACCAAACCAAACUAAAAGAAAAUAUGAAUAGAAUACACAUUACCGUGUAGGAUGGGAGUGCCGGAGUGGAGAUCGACUUGUGAAGUACAGGGAUUUAGCAAAUCACUGCCGAGAUUAGGGAUUUAACGUCGCCG